rnacentral:rRNA from 1 species
UACUCGAGUGGCGAACGGGUGAGUAACACGUGGGUGAUCUGCCUUGCACUUCGGGAUAAGCCUGGGAAACUGGGUCUAAUACCGGAUAGGACCAUGCUUUAGUGUGUGUGGUGGAAAGUUUUUCGGUGCAAGAUGAGCCCGCGGCCUAUCAGCUUGUUGGUGGGGUAAUGGCCUACCAAGGCGACGACGGGUAGCCGGCCUGAGAGGGUGUACGGCCACAUUGGGACUGAGAGUACGGCCCAG